CCUACGGGAGGCAGCAGUGAGGAAUAUUGGUCAAUGGCCGGAAGUCUGAACCAGCCAAGUCGCGUGAGGGACGACUGCCCUGUGCGUUGUAGACCUCUUUUGUCGGGGGAGAAUACAUGCUACUUGUACCCUCCUGCCUGUACCUUGUGAAUAAGCAUCGGCUAACUCCGUGCCAGCAGCCGCGGUAAUACGGAGGAUGCGAGCGUUAUCCGGAUUUAUUGGGUUUAAAGGGUGCGUAGGCGGGUUUUUAAGUUCGUGGUUAAACGUCGGGGCUUCACCUUGCUGUGCCAUUAAGACUGUAAGACUUGAGUGCAGACGAGGCAGGCGGAAUAAGCGAAGUAGCGGUGAAAUGCUUAGAU
rnacentral:rRNA from 1 species